GGAAAAAUAUAUGCAUAUAUCAAAAUAGGAAUAAGAAACAAGAUUUUCAGUGAGUGGUGCUGCUGUCGUAACCAAUAUCAGUUUAUCAAAAUGAACCCGAAAAAAAAAAGACUCUUAACUAAGGUAUAAAGACCACUAGUAUGUACCUGGCUUCAUCUAUGCAGAUUCCAGACAAAAACAUGUCGGUGACAAAAACGCCCUUGAAUCAUUAGAGAAGACAAUAAUUAUAGCCUAUAACAUGUUAACACCUCAUGCAAGAUAUUUUUUUGCUUUUCAGAAGGCCAUUUCAUUGUGUGAUAUGUUAUUUGUUGAAACUGGUAUAAAUGAAACAUGAUACAUACUUUCGUCGCCUAUAGAGUAUUUUAUAACAAGGGUGGCCUUAACGAAAAACGUUCAAUACACGGGUGGCCUUACAUUUAUCAGAGAGAAAAAAACUGAACAUGAAUCAUUACUAUAAUUUGGUUUCCAAAAUA
rnacentral:lncRNA from 1 species